GGUUCCAUGGUGUAACGCUAGCACUCUGGACUUUGAAUCCAGCAAUCGAGUUCGAAUCUCGUGGACCUA
rnacentral:tRNA from 1 species